UACGUAGGGUCCGAGCGUUGUCCGGAAUUACUGGGCGUAAAGAGCUCGUAGGUGGUUUGUCGCGUUGUUCGUGAAAACUCACAGCUCAACUGUGGGCGUGCGGGCGAUACGGGCAGACUGGAGUACUGCAGGGGAGACUGGAAUUCCUGGUGUAGCGGUGAAAUGCGCAGAUAUCAGGAGGAACACCGGUGGCGAAGGCGGGUCUCUGGGCCGGUACCGACGCUGAGGAGCGAAAGCGUGGGGAGCGAACAGG
rnacentral:rRNA from 1 species